rnacentral:lncRNA from 1 species
AGUGGCACUAGGAUUGGACUUGAGUUAGCUCUUCACCUUGAUCUUGGUAUUAAUGAAGAUCAUUGAUUUAUCGUGAUGGGAGGUCUACUGCCAAAGCCAGGUGGUCUCUAGUGAGUGCCACAGUCAAGGAUACCCACUUGGCACAGUGCAGACUCAGAGGAAGAAAGUGGAGUAUGGAAUAGAACAAGGCCAGCUGCCAGGCUCCCCGUGACCACUGGUUUCCAAGGCAUGAGUUGUGCUUGUUAAAAAUACAGAUUCCUCGGCCCAAAUUCCAAAGAUCUUGUUUUAGUAGAAUUUCAGAGAGUUGGCUUCUUUUUCCCGGGGUUGCUGACCGGAUAGGCUGAGCCUGGAGCUGCGGGGCCGUGAGGCCUCUGCCCUGGGAGAGCCUGCCCUGAAGAGAACAGGCCUGCAGGUUUGGGGGCUGGUGGCUUCAGUUCAGACUUCCUUCUGCCAAGUCUCACUUUCACGAGUCAGCUGGACUCCUCCUCUGCCCCUCAGGGUGUCCCGUGGACGACACUCCUCCCCCUGAGGAGCACAAGGGGCCUUUCUUUGGAGCUGGAGCCCAGUAAGCCAAUGCCUGUACUCUGGGCCAAAACUACCACAGAG